CAGUGCAAUGAGCGGUCUCAAAUUGCAUUUGUUGUCUUCAAGGAUCCCAAGGGGGCAGAGACAGCGGUUCUUCUUUGGUGCAUUAUCAUCUUAUCUCUGCAGCAACCAGGAAAUCUUGCCUUGGAGACAUCUUGUGAAGAAGUGCUGAAUAUCGGGCACCAUUGCAGUUUGAAGCAAUUGUUAUGUUUUGUUGUUGGAUCUGAAUUGGACUAGGUGUGACGAAGCUCCAUUAACUCUCUAUGCAUGGUUUUCUUAAGGGUGAUGUGUAAGUAAUUGGGCUAAUGGUACUUUCUAUAACCGGCAUUUAAAUCUUUGUACAUUUUUGUUAUUCUUCCUACAUAUCACAAUUAAAUGUUAGAGGAGUAGUUAAUUGAUUUGUUGACUGAUUUAGCUGUUUGUGACAUGAAAGACAAAAUAGAACAAGUGAUUAGAUGGUGUCACUUAUUGCUGACAUUUCUGUAGAGUAUGAUAACCAUAUCCUUCUUUCCCAGUAAGCAGAAUUCUUUUAUGUUGAUGAUGGUUUGUUCCAGAUAUCUUUUUUUUAUUAAGUUAUCGGAAGGUUUUUUUCCUAUUAUUGAAUCUUUUUUGAUAUCUCACACUUGAUGCAGUAAAGCAAGUUCAACAUAUAAUGAUUUUAUUCAAGAAUCAAUGUUAAGCAAUAGUGUACCACUCAAGCUUGGUAGCAUUAGCUCUCUUUUUCUUUUGUCGACUGAACGGCAUCUGUCCAACAUGUACUUUCUUCGUCAUUUGUUUCUGGUUUAGCUGUCAUUUGUAAUCUAAGCAACAAUAUUUAAUCUGGAAAACAGAAAAUGUUUGUUCUGAAGACUUAUCCAGUCACUUUUUGGUUGUCAUCUAUAAAAUUAAAUCAUGGUGACAGGAUGCUCUUGAAAAUUAACUAUUCAAUUUGACCUCAUUGAUGUUGUAUGUCAUCAAGAAGUUUGAUGUAUAUUGAAGAUAAGAUAACAAUUACAUUUUAAAGAGAAAACAAUGCAUCUCAGCAUUAAUUCGUGGUGAUUAAUAUUUGCUGAAGAGGGAUCAUUAACUUCCAGAUAUUGCUUAAAUGGUGUCAUGAAACCAAGAAGUGGUUGAAUAUUUGCUCAAAUUUGGCAAAUUCUUCAUUAAAGACAUGUUGGUUUUUCCUCUUUAUAAGCUUAUGCAAGUGCCUGCUUACUUUAUUUGGAGAAAUGCAUAGUCUCUAUAGGUGUUCACUGGCUAUGCUUUACCAUAUGUUUAGGUGUUGGUUCUGUAACUGUGGCUAAGCCUUCCUCUUUCUCUGAUUGCUGCAUGCUAUAGAUUAAAUUAACACAGCCUAGUCCAAAUUUGUUGAAAUCAUUAGUCCUUGUAUUUCUUAGGCAACUAUAAAUGCAAUCAACAAGUUAUCAAUGCAUCUUAACCCUGAAUUUCACUUUGGAGUUCUGACUGCAUUAAAGGACUUGUCGAUGACUUCCUGACCAUGUGUAGGUAUUUCACCUUUCAAUUGUUUUUGUCAUAGUCAGCGACACUUAAUUUCGCAUUAAGAAUACCUAUGCUUUAGAGAUUCAUACGUAUUCUGUUAUUUAUGUGAAUUGUGGUCACGAUGUUAUAGUCUAGUAGACCAUGGAGUCCAAAAGCAUGAAUGAGAUGGGAGAAUUGCAAGCAGGUAAGAGAAGUAGUUAAAGCAGUUAGUUGUUAUUUUAAUUCACUAGUAGAGAAAUUUUUGAAUGAAAUUUCAUGUUCCUCUUUGGAAGUAGUAACAUAUUUUAAUCUUUUUGGAUUCUAUCAUCUUCUUUCUAGUUUUUCACUGAUUAUAUAUGUUCAGCCUUUUGUGGAUGCAACUAAGGUGUUAUCCAAUUAAGCAUCUGAGCCCAGAAUUUCAGCCUCUCUAUCAUCAACAAGGGUUGCCUGUAUGAAGAGUUCUAUGAAUGAUUAUUUGACAGAAUCCUUUUGCAUAGGUAUCUUCUGAAGGAGAUAUAUACCAUAUGACAAGAAGAUGUGACAAGUCUCCAUUUCUUCAGUUUUGAAGCAGCAUGUACUACAUAGACACGAACAUGUGCCCAUUCAAAUCGAAUGUUUAUUUUCGACAGGAACCUGGUCUUGCAAUGAUUUAAAUCUAGAGAGAGGUGGUAAAGCAUGCAGAUGGAUAUCAUCAAAUCGUGAUAUGGAGCUUGUUAGCCGUCCAAUGGUUCUGACUUUUGGAUGUGGUGUUCAUGAGAAACAACUCUACAACCUGAACGGUGGAGAUUGAAAUCCAAGCACUGUAAGGCAGUAAUUGUAGGUAAACCCGAAACUGCAGUUUCUUUGUGUUUUGGGAUUAUUCUCUCCAUAAAUUGUGAUAUUUUGUUCCUGUUUUUGCUGAGAUUGUUGGUGUUGGAAUUGUGAAGUUUAUGAUGUUUGUAUGCCUCUAGUUUGCACUAGAGAAGACUUUGUAUUCCCAUUUUUGGUGAUAGUGAAAGACUUUAAUCGGACUAUGGUCCCGUGGUUUUUACUCCUCACAUCAAGGAGGUUUUCCACGUAAAAAUUUGGGUGUCAUUGAUCUUUAAUUUUUUGCAUAUAUUUGUAGCUUUUGAUUAUAUUCACUCGAGAAAGAAAAGGAUUGUUGGAAGCCAGGUUCCUUUUUAGUUAUGCAACAAUA